AGACGGAGGGUGCAAGCGUUAAUCGGAAUUACUGGGCGUAAAGCGCUCGUAGGCGGCUUGUUAAGUCGGAUGUGAAAGCCCCGGGCUCAACCUGGGAACUGCAUUCGAUACUGGCAGGCUAGAGUAUAGUAGAGGCAAGUGGAAUUCCGGGUGUAGCGGUGAAAUGCGUAGAUAUCCGGAGGAACAUCAGUGGCGAAGGCGACUUGCUGGACUAAUACUGACGCUGAGGAGCGAAAGCGUGGGGAGCAAACGGGAUUAGAUACCCCAGUAGUCC
rnacentral:rRNA from 1 species